rnacentral:rRNA from 1 species
CAGUCGAGGGGCAGCGGGGGUGCAGGCUUGCCUGCACCUGCCGGCGACCGGCUCACGGGUGAGUAACACGUAUGGAACCUGCCCGCCACAGGGGGAUAACCCGGGGAAACCCGGCCUAAUACCCCAUGCCGCCCGGACCGGGCAUCCGGACCGGGCGAAAGGAGGAAUCCGGUGGCGGCUGGGCAUGCGGCGCAUUAGCUUGACGGCGGGGUAACGGCCCACCGUGGCGACGAUGCGUAGGGGUUCUGAGAGGAAGGCCCCCCACACUGGGACUGAGACACGGUCCAGACUCCUACGGGAGGCAGCAGUGAGGAAUAUUGGUCAAUGGGCGGAAGCCUGAACCAGCCAAGUCGCGUGAGGGAAUAAGGCCCUACGGGUCGUAAACCUCUUUUGCCGGGGAGCAAGGGCCGGGACGAGUCCCGGUCCGGAGAGUACCCGGAGAAAAAGCAUCGGCUAACUCCGUGCCAGCAGCCGCGGUAAUACGGAGGAUGCGAGCGUUAUCCGGAUUUAUUGGGUUUAAAGGGUGCGUAGGCGGGCUUUUAAGUCAGCGGUAAAAAUUCGGGGCUCAACCCCGUCCGGCCGUUGAAACUGGGGGCCUUGAGUGGGCGAGAAGAAGGCGGAAUGCGUGGUGUAGCGGUGAAAUGCAUAGAUAUCACGCAGAACCCCGAUUGCGAAGGCAGCCUUCCGGCGCCCUACUGACGCUGAGGCACGAAAGUGCGGGGAUCGAACAGGAUUAGAUACCCUGGUAGUCCGCACAG